rnacentral:rRNA from 1 species
AUUGAACGCUGGCGGCAUGCCUUACACAUGCAAGUCGAACGGCAGCAUGGAAGAGCUUGCUCUUCUGAUGGCGAGUGGCGAACGGGUGAGUAAAGCAUCGGAACGUACCGUGUAGUGGGGGAUAACGUAGCGAAAGUUACGCUAAUACCGCAUACGCACUGAGGUGGAAAGCAGGGAAUCGCAAGACCUUGCGCUAUACGAGCGGCCGAUGUCAGAUUAGCUAGUUGGUAGGGUAAAGGCCUACCAAGGCGACGAUCUGUAGCGGGUCUGAGAGGAUGAUCCGCCACACUGGGACUGAGACACGGCCCAGACUCCUACGGGAGGCAGCAGUGGGGAAUUUUGGACAAUGGGCGAAAGCCUGAUCCAGCCAUGCCGCGUGAGUGAAGAAGGCCU